AUGGGAAAGGAGACGGGAAGGGAGACGGGAAAGGGAGACGGGAAGGGGAAAGGGAGACGGGAAGGGGAAAGGGAGACGGGAAAGGGAGACGGGAAAGGGAGACGGGAAGGGGGAAGGGAGACGGGAAAGGAGACGGGGAAGGGGAAAGGGAGACGGGGAAGGGGAAAGGGAGACGGGGAAGGGGAAAGGGAGACGGGAAAGGGAGACGGGAAGGGGAAAGGGAGACGGGAAGGGGAAAGGGAGACGGGAAGGGGGAAGGAAGACGGGAAGGGGAAAGGGAGACGGGGAAGGGGAGACGGGAAAGGGAGACGGGAAGGGGAAAGGGAGACGGGGAAGGGAGACGGGAAGGGGAAAGGGAGACGGGGAAGGGAGACGGAAAGGGAGACGGGAGACGGGAAGGGGAAAGGGAGACGGGAAGGGGAAAGGGAGACGGGAAGGGGAAAGGGAGACGGGAAGGGAGACGGGAAGGGAGACGGGAAGGGGAAAGGGAGACGGGAAGGGGGAAGGGAGACGGGAAGGGGAAAGGGAGACGGGAAGGGGGAAGGGAGACGGGAAAGGGAGACGGGAAGGGAGACGGGAAGGGGAAAGGGAGACGGGAAAGGGAGACGGGAAAGGGUGACGGGAAAGGGAGACGGGAAGGGGAAAGGGAGACGGGAAGGGGAAAGGGAGACGGGAAAGGGAGACGGAAAGGGAGACGGAAAGGGAGACGGGAAGGGGAAAGGGAGACGGGAAAGGGAGACGGGAAGGGGAAAGGGAGACGGGAAGGGAAGGGGAAGGGAGACGGGAAGGGAAGGGGAAAGGGAGACGGGAAGGGAAGGGGAAAGGGAGACGGGAAAGGGAGACGGGAAGGGGAAAGGGAGACGGGAAGGGGAAAGGGGAAAGGGAGACGGGAAGGGGGAAGGGAAAGAAAGGAGAUUGCAGAGGAACAAAAUGGCUGUAAAAUGUGUUGAUGACGUCUCUAAGCUCCGGACUUAUAAUGUGUGGAACACUCUAGAAUGUCCAAUCAUAAUGCGAACUCUAGAAUCCAUAAGGGCUAGUGGUCCGGGAGAAGGUUCUACCCAGUGAGGUCCAGGCCCUGUCACAGAGGGACACAAAUGCAUGUCAAAUGGGUAGUAUGUGACAUGGAACUAAAAGAAAUGGUGUAAGCCCAAUGGGCCGAUGAACACUAGAAAAAUGUCCCAAAUGGCACCCUAUUCCCUAUGUAGUGCUAGUCUAGCUAAUAGGGUUCCAUUCUACUCACGACUCAACCCCAGGUGAGUUUAGUAGUGAGUAGCUGUCUUCUGAAGCCUUCUCCUUGGUUUUUGGUCGUUUUUUAUUUUCCAGGGAGCACCAAGUGAUUUCUCCAUUGAGAAUGUGUCUUUUUUUUGUUUCUUUUGUUAAAUUCAUCUAUUUUUACAAGAAUCGCUAAAAAUACGUCUUUCUAUGUAACGUUAAUUCAGGUAUAAAGAAGAUGCAGCUGUUUUACAUGUGAAAUAUUGCACAGAUUUUUACUAAAUAAAAUGUUUUAAUUUAAUCAACCGCGUUGUGAACUAUUCGUUUUCUUCAGACUCUCACAGUUAGAAUGGAGACGCAUUGGCCUUCACCCGACGGCCAAUAGGAUUGCUGAUUGCAUCUCGACAGCCAAUAGGAUAGCUGGUUGCAUCUCAUCUGACAUUGGUUGAGCACCUUCUUACUUCGCUCCAACCUUCUUCAGUAUGUAAAUUAUUUUACUACAUAUUGUCUGCUUAAAGAAUCCCUUUUAUCUGAGUAGAACCUUGUCAAUAUGGACAGUAGAGGGCGCCACAUGUCUGAAAUCAGUUUGCCAGUGACACUACAUACAUACAUACAUACAUACAUACAUACAAUAAUUGGCGCAUAAAAUAUGCUGAGGAAGGAUAAUGUUUCAUUAGAUGAUUGGGUCCAGGUACACAUGACUUCCUCAGGGUGGAUAAUGUUUCAUUAGAUGAUUGGGCACAUGACUUCCUGAGAGGUGGCCGGAUUCUCAUGACCUGGCGUGUGUGUUGGGUGGGCGGGCCUGAGCGUUAUCUGCGUAACCUAGUUUUGCACCCUGAGAACACGUGCUCCUCAUUUCAGCUCAUCUCAGAGAAGACGGCCUGGUUUCAGUUCUUCACUCCGUUAGCUAUUCUCUCUCGUCAUCUGUAACACUGAGAUAAACAUCCAACGGUUCACUGCUCCCCUUUUCAGCCCGUUGUUCAAUCAAAGUGGAAAAACGACAAAAUAAGGAAUAGGCUGCUGUUUGUCCCCUUCAACUCCAUCCAUACUGAAGCAGUAACUAUUCCAACGAUGCAUGGACACUAUGGGCUGAUCCACACAU
rnacentral:lncRNA from 8 species